rnacentral:tRNA from 1 species
GCGUUUGUGGUUUAGUGGUAAAAUUGAUCGUUGCCAUCGAUCAGCCCCGGGUUCGAUUCCCGGCGGACGCA